AUUUCUUUAAUACGUCGAACCUACUGUACGCAAUAGGGUACACAGACGAAAACGAGCUCAUGGAGAAAAUAGUUUACACCGUUCAAUACAUAAAGCCCUCUUUGUGCAACGAAUUCUAUAAUCGAGUUGGAUUUUCGGAGCCGAAGUCAACGCCGCCGUACGUGCAAUGUGGAUUCGCGGCCAACAACAAGAAGGACUGCGUCUGGGAG